rnacentral:rRNA from 1 species
CCCGCACAAGGCGGUGGAGCAUGUGGUUUAAUCGAAGCAACACGAAGAACCUUACCAGGUCUUGACAUCCCCUGACAACCGAGAGAUCGGGCAUUCCCCUUCGGGGGAACAGGGUGACAGGUGGUGCAUGGUUGUCGUCAGCUCGUGUCGUGAGAUGUUGGGUUAAGUCCCGCAACGAGCGCAACCCUCGACCUUAGUUGCCAGCAUUCAGUUGGGCACUCUAGCGAGACUGCCGGUAAUAAACCGGAGGAAGUGGGAUGACGUCAAAUCAUCAUGCCCCUUAUGACCUGGGCUACACACGUGCUACAAUGGUUGGUACAACGAGUUGCGAGUCGGUGACGGCGAGCUAAUCUCUUAAAGCCAAUCUCAGUUCGGAUUGUAGGCUGCAACUCGCCUACAUGAAGUCGGAAUCGCUAGUAAUCGCGGAUCAGCACGCCGCGGUGAAUACGUUCCCGGGCCUU